UUCGCCCUUAGAGUUUGAUCCUGGCUCAGGACGAACGCUGGCGGCGCGCCUAACACAUGCAAGUCGAACGAGCGAGAGAGAGCUUGCUUUCUCGAGCGAGUGGCGAACGGGUGAGUAACGCGUGAGGAACCUGCCUCAAAGAGGGGGACAACAGUUGGAAACGACUGCUAAUACCGCAUAAGCCCACGGCUCGGCAUCGAGCAGAGGGAAAAGGAGCAAUCCGCUUUGAGAUGGCCCCGCGUCCGAUUAGCUAGUUGGUGAGGUAAUGGCCCACCAAGGCGACGAUCGGUAGCCGGACUGAGAGGUUGAACGGCCACAUUGGGACUGAGACACGGCCCAGACUCCUACGGGAGGCAGCAGUGGGGAAUAUUGCACAAUGGGGGAAACCCUGAUGCAGCGACGCCGCGUGGAGGAAGAAGGUCUUCGGAUUGUAAACUCCUGUUGUUGGGGAAGAUAAUGACGGUACCCAACAAGGAAGUGACGGCUAACUACGUGCCAGCAGCCGCGGUAAAACGUAGGUCACAAGCGUUGUCCGGAAUUACUGGGUGUAAAGGGAGCGCAGGCGGGAAGACAAGUUGGAAGUGAAAUCUAUGGGCUCAACCCAUAAACUGCUUUCAAAACUGUUUUUCUUGAGUAGUGCAGAGGUAGGCGGAAUUCCCGGUGUAGCGGUGGAAUGCGUAGAUAUCGGGAGGAACACCAGUGGCGAAGGCGGCCUACUGGGCACCAACUGACGCUGAGGCUCGAAAGUGUGGGUAGCAAACAGGAUUAGAUACCCUGGUAGUCCACACCGUAAACGAUGAUUACUAGGUGUUGGAGGAUUGACCCCUUCAGUGCCGCAGUUAACACAAUAAGUAAUCCACCUGGGGAGUACGACCGCAAGGUUGAAACUCAAAGGAAUUGACGGGGGCCCGCACAAGCAGUGGAGUAUGUGGUUUAAUUCGACGCAACGCGAAGAACCUUACCAAGUCUUGACAUCCCUUGACGAUGCUGGAAACAGUAUUUCUCUUCGGAGCAAGGAGACAGGUGGUGCAUGGUUGUCGUCAGCUCGUGUCGUGAGAUGUUGGGUUAAGUCCCGCAACGAGCGCAACCCUUAUGGUCAGUUACUACGCAAGAGGACUCUGGCCAGACUGCCGUUGACAAAACGGAGGAAGGUGGGGAUGACGUCAAAUCAUCAUGCCCUUUAUGACUUGGGCUACACACGUACUACAAUGGCGUUAAACAAAGAGAAGCAAGACCGCGAGGUGGAGCAAAACUCAGAAACAACGUCCCAGUUCGGACUGCAGGCUGCAACUCGCCUGCACGAAGUCGGAAUUGCUAGUAAUCGUGGAUCAGCAUGCCACGGUGAAUACGUUCCCGGGCCUUGCACUCACCGCCCGUCA
rnacentral:rRNA from 1 species